rnacentral:rRNA from 1 species
UACGUAGGGUCCGAGCGUUGUCCGGAAUUACUGGGCGUAAAGAGCUCGUAGGUGGUUUGUCACGUUGUUCGUGAAAACUCACAGCUCAACUGUGGGCGUGCGGGCGAUACGGGCAGACUGGAGUACUGCAGGGGAGACUGGAAUUCCUGGUGUAGCGGUGGAAUGCGCAGAUAUCAGGAGGAACACCGAUGGCGAAGGCGGGUCUCUGGGCAGUAACUGACGCUGAUGAGCGAAAGCGUGGGGAGCGAACAGG